GCCCGCCUAGCUCAAUCGGAUAGAGCGUCAGACUCUUAGGCAUUGUUCAUCUGAAGGCUGCGAGUUCGACCCUCGCGGUGGGCU
rfam:Termitomyces sp. J132 unplaced genomic scaffold scaffold86, whole genome shotgun sequence.